rnacentral:rRNA from 1 species
GACGAGGGGUCCAAGCGUUGUUCGGAAUUAUUGGGCGUAAAGCGGGUGUAGGUGGCUCUAUAAGUCAGAAGUGAAAGCCCCGGGCUUAACCCGGGAAGUGCUUUUGAUACUGCAGAGCUUGAAUGUGGGAGAGGGUAGUGGAAUUCCAGGUGUAGUGGUGAAAUGCGUAGAUAUCGUAAGGAAGACCAGUGGCGAAGGCGGGUCUCUGGACAGUUCCUGACGCUGAGGCACGAAGGCCAGGGGAGCAAACGGG